rnacentral:rRNA from 1 species
AUGAGCUGGAACUGUCGAGGGAUUGGGAACCCUGCGGCGGUUCGGGAGCUUCGCAAGCUAGUGAAGCAAGAAGGUCCCACCCUGCUAUUCAUGAUGGAAACAAAGAUCAGGGGAAAAUGAGUUGAAGAUAUGAAAACCACGUUAGGCUUUCAUGGAUGUUUUGCCGGCGAUAGCAAUGGGCUUAGUGGAGGUAUUGGUCUUUUCUGGUCAAAAGAUGUCGAUGUAAGUUUGGAAAAUUUUAGUAGGUCUCAUGUUGGUGUGAAGGUCACACAGAAUAAUACAUGCUGA